GACGAACGCUGGCGGCGUGCUUAACACAUGCCAGUCGAACGGAAAGGCCCUGCUUUUGUGGGGUGCUCGAGUGGCGAACGGGUGAGUAACACGUGAGUAACCUGCCCUUGACUUUGGGAUAACUUCAGGAAACUGGGGCUAAUACCGGAUAGGAGCUCCUGCUGCAUGGUGGGGGUUGGAAAGUUUCGGCGGUUGGGGAUGGACUCGCGGCUUAUCAGCUUGUUGGUGGGGUAGUGGCUUACCAAGGCUUUGACGGGUAGCCGGCCUGAGAGGGUGACCGGCCACAUUGGGACUGAGAUACGGCCCAGACUCCUACGGGAGGCAGCAGUGGGGAAUAUUGCACAAUGGGCGGAAGCCUGAUGCAGCAACGCCGCGUGCGGGAUGACGGCCUUCGGGUUGUAAACCGCUUUCGCCUGUGACGAAGCGUGAGUGACGGUAAUGGGUAAAGAAGCACCGGCUAACUAAGU
rnacentral:rRNA from 1 species